UGGCCUUCCAGAUGUUGCCAAACUACAACUCCCAUCAGCCCCAGCAAGCAUGGCCAAUGGCUAAGGUAAAUGGGAGUUGUAGUUUGGCAACAUCUGGAGGGCA